GACAGAGGGUGCAAACGUUGUUCGGAAUUACUGGGCGUAAAGCGAGUGUAGGCGGUUUGGUAAGUCGGAUGUGAAAGCCCUGGGCUCAACCCAGGAAGUGCAUUCGAUACUGUCAAGCUAGAGUAUCGGAGAGGUUGGUGGAAUUCUCGGUGUAGAGGUGAAAUUCGUAGAUAUCGAGAGGAACACCGGUGGCGAAGGCGGCCGACUGGACGAAUACUGACGCUGAGACUCGAAAGCGUGGGGAGCAAGCAGG
rnacentral:rRNA from 1 species